rnacentral:lncRNA from 1 species
UUCGGAACUGUUUUCAGAGGGAACAUCAGAACAUCGUCUGAUCAAAUCGCAGUGAAGAAGAUAACUCCGAAUAGUAUGCAAGGUGUUCGAGAAUUCAUCGCAGAGAUCGAGAGUUUGGGACGGCUAAGACAUAGGAAUCUGGUGAAUCUCCAAGGAUGGUGUAAACACAAAAACGAUCUCUUGUUGAUUUACGAUUAUAUCCCAAACGGAAGCUUGGACUCUCUGCUCUACACUAAACCGAGAAGGAGCGGCGCUGUUUUAUCUUGGAAAGCGCGUUUUCAGAUCGCAAAAGGAAUCGCGUCUGGCUUGUUGUACCUCCACGAAGAAUGGGAACAGAUCGUGAUUCACAGAGACGUGAAACCUAGCAACGUUCUCAUUGACUCCGAUAUGAACCCUAGACUGGGAGAUUUCGGACUCGCGAGGCUUUACGAACGCGGAUCGAAAUCGCGAACCACCGUUGUCGUCGGGACGAUUGGGUAUAUGGCGCCGGAGCUAGCCCGCAACGGAAACUCCUCAGCCGCUUCCGACGUUUUCGCGUUUGGCGUUUUGCUGUUAGAGAUCGUCACCGGGAGAAAACCUACCGACUCUGGGACCUUCUUCAUAGCCGAUUGGGUAAUGGAGCUACAAGCGAGCGGUGAAAUCCUCAGUGCGAUCGAUCCGAGACUUGGAUCAGGUUACGACGAAGGAGAGGUGAGGCUUGCUCUCUCCGUCGGCUUGCUCUGUUGCCACCAUAAACCGGAAUCCCGGCCGCCGAUGAGAACGGUGAUUAGGUACCUAAACAGAGACGAGGGUGUUCCUGAGAUUCACGAUAAUUGGGGUUAUUCAGAUUCUUCAAGAACCGAUUUAGGAUCUAAACUCGUUGGAUACGUAUCGUCUGAUAGGGCUUCGAGCUCACACUCACACACAUCUUCGUCUCUCACAAGGAUCUCUUCAACAUCAUUUAUCAGUGGUAGAUAAAAUUAGAUAGUGGCACUACUUUGACACAUUCAAGCCUUUUUUUAACUCUCUCUCUCUCUCUCUCUCUCUCUCUCUCUCUCUCUCUCAAUCAUAUUCUUAUGUUUUUCAUCUCUUUAACUAAUUCAAAUUUGUGUUUUGAAUUUGGGCUCGGCCCAUUGAGUUUCUUUGAAUCUUCGUAUCCAAUAACAAAAAGUCGCACCCAUUAAUAAAGGAAAUUAAUUUUAAAAAAGGCAUAUUUUCCAUUUGAUACCUUGCCGGAUUUUGUAUUAGUAUCAAAACUAUAUUAAGAAAUCAAAUCAUUUAUUUUCCUCAGUGACAACUGACAACAAGUAUAACAAAACAUGAUAUUGUUUUAGAAUAUGAUAGGGAUAAACCACGUAUUUCAAUCUCACGCGACGACAUGACGUGAUCUUCUAUAAUUCAAUAACUAGUACAUCUACAUCAUAAUAACGGAUGGACUAAAAAUGCGCUAAAGCGAAAUAUUGAAACUUUAGGACAGCAUUUACAAUGUCAAACUGAUAACGGUUUAUGUACCAAUCGGAUCAAAAGGUAUUUGAACUCAUGAGAUUUCGUCAUAAAUGUUUAUUUAAAUACUAUAAUUAUAUGUGGUAAUAACGAUUAAGUACGGUUUUAAGCCGUAUUAUUACUAAAGUAGUCCACUAAUUAUUGCUAGAUUGGUGUAUAAAUAGAAGAAAAAAACUUACUACAUACCCUAAUAUUUAUCUUUAGACUUUAAAUCACAAUGUCCAAGUCCAAAGUCAAUUUUGUUUUUUAUUUUAUUUUCUCGCAAAGAAUAUAAAAUAUCUGCAAAUUCAAAGUAUAUAGAAUUUGUCAAAGGCAUAUACUUUUAAGAAAAAGAAAAAGAAAAAUCCAGCAUAAAAGAAAACAUGAAAACUUAGAUUUUUUUUUUCUUUGAAAUUAGUAAACCUCUUAAUAUGAAUUUCUAAAUUGAAAGAUUUUUCUCUUGCCUUUAAAACUCUAAAGAUAUUUAAAUUCUGUAACUAUUUAGUUUGUAAAUCGGUAUUUCAAAGUACAUGUUUCAAGAAACUUUUUAAACAAGUUAUUUAAUUAUUUAGAACUAUAUUUAAAAUUAAUGUAAUUAAGUAUCCAAAUCAUUGACUAGAAGAGAUGAUAAAUAAUAGUAUUUUAGGUCCUACCACAACUUUUAAAAUAUUAAAAUUUUCUUAGUAGAUAAUAUACAUAUUUGUCAAUUAUUUUUAGUUGUUUUUUCCUUCCAAAUUGUAAAUUGACCACAAAUUAUAUUUUGUCAAUACUCGCUAAUGUGAACCAGUUUGCGAAGAGGAAGAACAAACGCAAUUACUUGUUUAAGCCUUAGAAGUUAGAACUCCUUAUUUUCUCUAGUCUCCAUAUAAGAAGAACACCUCUAAUCACUAAGUCUCGGAGAAAACUGCUUGUGUUAUCUGUUCUCCUUCCAAAAGCCUCCUCUCUGUUUCUGUUUUUUUUCUUUGGUGUCAUAUGCACCAAUCAUUAAUCAUGGACGACAAAACAAGAUCCAUAAUCUCACUUAUACUCUUCUUGCUUUUGACCAUCCCUGCACGAGCUCAGCGGACAACAACGGAGACUCCAACGACAAAGUUCAUUUUCCGAGGUUUUAACGGGAGCGAAUCGGAUAUUCGUACUCAAGGAGCUGCGAUGAUCAAACCCGACGGACUCUUGAGGCUCACUGACCGAAACCAAAACGUCGUCGGUACAGCUUUCUACAACAAACCGGUUAGAUUGCUAGACACUAAUAAUACAAGUUCCACAAACAACACGGUUCGUUCUUUUAGCACUUCUUUCGUAUUUGUCAUCAUUCCUUCAAGCUCAAGCAACGGAGGUUUUGGCUUCACGUUCGCGCUAUCUCCGACCCCUUAUCGCCCCGGAGCUGAUCCCGAGCAGUUUUUGGGGCUUCUCAACAAAGACAACGAUGGGAAUUCGACGAAUCACGUUUUCGCCGUGGAAUUCGACACCGUACAAGGAUUCAAAGACGGUGCUGAUAGUUCAGGCAAUCACAUCGGUCUGAAUUUCAACAGUCUCAAAUCUGCCUAUCAAGAACCGGUCGUGUAUUACGACAACGAUGGUCCUAAUCGGAAAGAGGAUUUCCGGCUUCAGAGCGGGGAGCCGAUCAGAGCACAUUUGGACUACGAUGGACCAACUCAAACUCUUAACUUCACCGUUUAUCCGGCUAAAUCAAGGUCUCGACCUAUAAGGCCUUUGAUCUCGCAACUACCGGUUCCAAACUUGUCGCAGAUCGUGCAAGAAGAAAUGUAUGUAGGAUUCACAGCGGCGACGGGGAGAGAGUCGAGUGCUCAUUACGUGAUGGGUUGGAGUUUUUCCAGCGGCGGCGAUCGUCCAAUUGCGGAUACGCUAGAACUCUCGGAGCUCCCUCCUGCGCCUCCGAAUAAAGCGAAGAAGGGAGGUUACAAUUCUCAGGUCAUCGCUCUGAUCGUAGCUCUAUCGGGAGUAACAGUGAUCUUGCUUGCGUUACUCUUCUUCUUCUCCAUGUACAAGAAGCGACUGCAACAAGGAGAGAUUCUCGAAGACUGGGAAAUCAAUCAUCCUCACAGACUCAGAUACAAAGAUCUCUUCGCUGCCACUGAUGGAUUCAGUGAGGAUAGGAUUAUCGGAACCGGAGGAUUCGGUACCGUUUUCAGGGGAAACAUCGCAUCGUCUCCGUCUAAUCAAAUCGCAGUGAAGAAGAUAACUCCGAAUAGUAUGCAAGGUGUUCGAGAAUUCAUCGCAGAGAUCGAGAGUUUGGGGAGACUAAGACAUAAGAAUCUGGUCAACCUUCAAGGAUGGUGCAAACACAAGAACGAUCUCUUGUUGAUUUACGAUUAUAUCCCCA